rnacentral:rRNA from 1 species
AUUGAACGCUGGCGGCAUGCCUUACACGUGCAAGUCGAACGGCAGCACGGGAGCAAUCCUGGUGGCGAGUGGCGAACGGGUGAGUAAUGUAUCGGAACGUGCCCGGUCGUGGGGGAUAACGUAGCGAAAGCUACGCUAAUACCGCAUAAGAUAUAUGGAUGAAAGCGGGGGAUCGCAAGACCUCGCGCGAUUGGAGCGGCCGAUAUCAGAUUAGGUAGUUGGUGGGGUAAAGGCCCACCAAGCCUGCGAUCUGUAGCUGGUCUGAGAGGACGACCAGCCACACUGGAACUGAGACACGGUCCAGACUCCUACGGGAGGCAGCAGUGGGGAAUUUUGGACAAUGGGCGCAAGCCUGAUCCAGCAAUGCAGCGUGCAGGAUGAAGGCCUUCGGGUUGUAAACUGCUUUUGUACGGAACGAAACGGCUUUUUCUAAUACAGAGAGCUAAUGACGGUACCGUAAGAAUAAGCACCGGCUAACUACGUGCCAGCCGCCGCGGUAA